rnacentral:miRNA from 1 species
CUCCUAGGGCCGGCACUCUUGC